rfam:Parcubacteria (Kuenenbacteria) bacterium GW2011_GWA2_42_15 TV02_C0022, whole genome shotgun sequence.
CAAGCGAGUCUAGAUGGCUACUCUAGAUUCUCAAUUUUAUUGAGGAUUUGGAGAGGAAAGUCCGGACACCUGUCCCGCAAUGGCGGGAUAAAGCGGCAGUCGUGAAAAUGACCGGGCAUAAGCAGAACGGUAAUAAAUUUUCGAUCGUAAUUUAUUACUGGUCAAUUGCAAAACCCAGGGAAAGUGCAACAGAAAGCAAACAGCCCACUUCCGAAGCAAUUCGGAAAGGCAAUGGUGAAAAUGCGUCCCGAUCCUUAUAGACUAAUUUUUAUAGGACAUCGGGAUCCCGAUAGCUUUAGCUCAUCGGGACGGCAAGAGCGCACACUUUUUCGUGGUGACACGGAAUCGCGGCAAACCCUGCCUGGUGCAAGUCCAAUGACGGACGUUUAGAUAGAUGGCCAUUAUGUUUAAGAACUUAAUUCAAGUAUUUUAAACCACAGAAUCCGGCUUAUGGCCCGCUUGGUUU